GAAAUGCGAUAAGUAAUGUGAAUUGCAGAAUUCAGUGAAUCAUCGAAUCUUUGAACGCACAUUGCGCCCGCCAGCACUCUGGCGGGCAUGCCUGUUCAAGCGUCAUUUCAACCCUCAGAACCCCUUGCGGGAUCUGGCGUUGGGGAUUGGCAUCCAGCCAGCCCCGAAAUCUAGUGGCGGUCCCUCCGCGACCUCCCCUGUGCAGUAGCGAUACCUCGCAGCGGGACAGCGGUCUGACCACGCCGUAAAACCCCCAACUUCUCAAGGUUGACCUCGAAUCAGGUAGGAAUACCCACUGAACUUAAGC
rnacentral:misc_RNA from 1 species